rnacentral:rRNA from 1 species
CAACACCUAAAAUGUGGAAUAUAGCAUAUAGUCGACAAGAGAAAUCUACGAAAAACAAACAAAACUUUCAACAACGGAUCUCUUGGUUCUCGCAUCGAUGAAGAGCGCAGCGAAAUGCGAUACCUAGUGUGAAUUGCAGCCAUCGUGAAUCAUCGAGUUCUUGAACGCACAUUGCGCCCCUCGGCAUUCCGGGGGGCAUGCCUGUUUGAGCGUCGUUUCCAUCUUGCGCGUGCGCAGAGUUGGGGGAGCGGAGCGGACGACGUGUAAAGAGCGUCGGAGCUGCGACUCGCCUGAAAGGGAGCGAAGCUGGCCGAGCGAACUAGACUUUUUUUCAGGGACGCUUGGCGGCCGAGAGCGAGUGUUGCGAGACAACAAAAAGCUCGACCUCAAAUCAGGUAGGAAUACCCGCUGAACUUAAGCAUAUCAAUA